CAGAGGCUUGCUUGAAUAGCAAAAAUAAGUUUUUAUUUAGAUUUGCUGCUUAAACAAGUCUCACCUCAACACAGCUGUGGCAAAUAAUCAGGUUGUCCUCAUUUGUCUGCCGUAGGCUACUCUCAUCUGCGCCUCUGAUGAUGACGAAAAAGAAGACGAGAGUCCAGAUCCACCACUUGGUUUGAGUACUGUAAGUGGACCUGGCAAGAACACAUAGUUCAGAGGCCUGGCUUGGCGACAGCAUCUGUGGCCGUCAGCGCUCUGAUUUAUGGCGGGCGGUAAAUGUGCCGUCGCCACGUCUUUGGCUCCUGCCCGUUUGCCAGCUCAGCAGGAAGUCGCUCGCUCUCUGCUGAGUCACUCGGCGUGGAGGUGAGAGCGACCCUGGACGCUCCCGACCAUAGCGUCCACCCCUGGCCCUCCUCCCUUGAACCUUUUCCCAGGACAGUGGCGGUACAAACUGCACGUGAGUGGUGCUAGAAAGACUCCAGACCCACACAGCUCGGUGACAUCUGACCACCACCACCACUGCCGCCACCCAAACAAACUAACAAACAAGACUCAGCCUGUACACAGUGAUGGAUGAUGACAAGUGUUAUGCAAUAAUUGAUGAACGCAGUUUGUCAGUUUGAGUUUGAGAUGCCCCGUCUCAGUGACACUUGAUCAAAACACUGCCUCCUAACCAAAAAGGACUUCUCAGCAAAACACUGGAAUACUUUUUGAUGGAUCUGAAUGAAUUAUUUACUUUUGAGUCGGUUUGAGAUGCCAUUAUUUAACCCCUUUUCUAUCACUUCAAUAGCUUCCAGUCAGUGUGUUGUAGAUGCCCAUUCCCAUGAAUACAGACAGAUGUAGUUGCGUUAGUGAUGCAACUGAGGUUUAU